rnacentral:tRNA from 2 species
GGGGCCGUAGCUCAGUUGGGAGAGCGCCUCACUUGCACUGAGGAGGUCGCAGGUUCGAUCCCUGUCGGCUCCA